rnacentral:rRNA from 14 species
GAGGGCGCUUACCACUUUGUGAUUCAUGACUGGGGUGAAGUCGUAACAAGGUAACCGUAGGGGAACCUGCGGUUGGAUCACCUCCUUA